rnacentral:ncRNA from 2 species
AGAAAUAUGUCUGAUAAAAGA